GCCCCGAUAUUCCAACGGUAGAGAAGAUCGUCUCAAAAGCGAUACAGUGUGGGUUCGAAUCCCACUCGGGGCA
rnacentral:tRNA from 1 species